rnacentral:rRNA from 1 species
AUUGAACGCUGGCGGCAGGCCUAACACAUGCAAGUCGAGCGGAUGAAGGGAGCUUGCUCCUGGAUUCAGCGGCGGACGGGUGAGUAAUGCCUAGGAAUCUGCCUGGUAGUGGGGGAUAACGUCCGGAAACGGGCGCUAAUACCGCAUACGGCCUGAGGGAGAAAGUGGGGGAUCUUCGGACCUCACGCUAUCAGAUGAGCCUAGGUCGGAUUAGCUAGUUGGUGGGGUAAAGGCCUACCAAGGCGACGAUCCGUAACUGGUCUGAGAGGGUGAUCAGUCACACUGGAACUGAGACACGGUCCAGACUCCGACAGGAGGCAGCAGUGGGGAAUAUUGGACAAUGGGCGAAAGCCUGAUCCAGCCAUGCCGCGUGUGUGAAGAAGGUCUUCGGAUUGUAAAGCACUUUAAGUUGGAAGGAAGGGCAGUAAGUUAAUACCUUGCUGUUUUGACGUUACCAACAGAAUAAGCACCGGCUAACUUCGUG